AUUGAACGCUGGCGGCAGGCCUAACACAUGCAAGUCGAGCGGCAGCACUUCGGGUGGCGAGCGGCGGACGGGUGAGUAACACGUAGGAAUCUACCUAGUAGUGGGGGAUAGCCCGGGGAAACUCGGAUUAAUACCGCAUACGCUCUACGGAGGAAAGGGGGGCGUUCGGCUCUCGCUAUUAGAUGAGCCUGCGUCGGAUUAGCUAGUUGGUGAGGUAAAGGCUCACCAAGGCGACGAUCCGUAACUGGUCUGAGAGGAUGAUCAGUCACACUGGAACUGAGACACGGUCCAGACUCCUACGGGAGGCAGCAGUGGGGAAUAUUGGACAAUGGGGGAAACCCGUGAUCCAGCCAUGCCGCGUGUGUGAAGAAGGCCUCGGUUGUAAG
rnacentral:rRNA from 1 species